CCGCGGGACUGAGGUGGCCUCCACGGGCUGCUACCAACUAUUCCUGCCCCUCCGUAGUCCCCACCCCUUGCGGCUCCAUUGUCAGCCAGGCAGACCUAGGACAGACUCGCUAGUUGACAGCUUCACAUCCGAGGGUGUAGCAAGCCCAGGCAGUGGGGACCCGGCGCCCCUCGGAUCACCAGGCGGGAUGUGCGGAUAGCGUCCCUAAGUGCGCCCUGGCUCCUGGCCAGUGGCCAAGCAACGGUGGCUGAGGGGAUGCGCCCUGGACGCACAAGGUGCCUGCAGCGAGCUACCGUCCCUAGGUGGACGCCCAACAGAGCUCAUCGCAGGACUGCGUGGACCCUUGGUCCCCGGGUCACGCGGCUGCGGAACCUUGGGGCAGCGCCUGCGGUCAGGAUGCUUGGGGCGCCUCCCUACUGGUGAGAUGCCCUACUGCACAGCUGGGCACGACUGAGUGGGCCCUGCUUCGGCCCCUAGUGCCUGUGGAUGAAAAGCGCCGGAGUCCUGGUGUGGGAUCAGCGAUCGCAUCUGCAUUCUAAGAGCCAUGGAGGAAGGCACUGGGCUUCAGCCCCCGGCAGGAGAGCAGCUGGAGACACCUGCCACAGCAGGAGCUGUGCAAGAGAAGACCGAGUCAGAGACCUUAAGGUCUAAGAGUUUACCGGUCCUGAACAGCGCCUCCUGUCGGCAGAAACUCAGUCCUGCGAGUGUAGAUGUCCAGCAGGCCUUUGGCUGUAUGGACUCUUUGGGCCGUCAGGAGUUGAAGCAAGGCAGGAACCCAUUGACCUCCAGCCCCUCUGCCCCUACCACUUCGGCUGGGAUGGCAGGGAUCAUGGACUGGACCCACAGGAUGGACGUCAGGAAAACGGUGUCCAUGUCCCCCACACUGGCCACGCUCCAGCAGAGAAGGUGCCUCUAUGUGGUCCUCGCAGACUCCCGCUGCUUCCUGGUUUGCAUGUGCUUCCUGACCUUCAUCCAGGCUUUAAUGGUCUCCGGGUACCUGAGCAGUGUCAUCACCACCAUUGAAAGGCGCUACAGUCUGAAGAGCUCCGAGUCAGGGCUGCUGGUCAGCUGCUUUGACAUCGGGAACCUGGUGGUGGUGGUGUUUGUCAGCUAUUUUGGUGGUAGGGGUCGUCGGCCCCUGUGGCUGGCGGUGGGUGGACUCUUCAUCGCCAUCGGGGCUGCGCUGUUCGCCUUGCCUCACUUCAUCUCACCUCCCUAUCAGAUUCAGGAGUUGAACGCCUCAGCCUCCAACGAUGGCCUGUGUCAGAAUGGCAACUCCACCGCCACGUUGGAGUCUCCCCCAUGUCCAAAAGCCUCAGGAGGAAAUAACCACUGGGUCUAUGUGGCUUUGUUCGUUUGCGCACAGAUUCUCAUUGGAAUGGGCUCCACGCCUAUUUACACCCUGGGACCAACCUACUUAGAUGACAAUGUCAAGAAAGAAAAUGCCUCCUUGUACCUAGGUAAGACUUUCCUGUUCUCUCAGAUGAAUCUGACUCAUUACUUUCUUUCCAAAACCCAAAGGAACCAUGGUCUUUCACAUUUUCAAAUGUAUUAAGCAUUAAGGUUCCUUUUACGUUUUAGCUU